rnacentral:rRNA from 1 species
GCUUACGGCCAUACCACCCUGAGCACGUCCGACCUCGUCUGAUCUUGGAAGCUAAGCAGGGCUGGGCUUGGUUAGUACUUGGAUGGGAGACUGCCUGGGAAUACCUGGUGCUGAAAGCC